rnacentral:rRNA from 1 species
UUGACCUCGGAUCAGGUAGGAAUACCCGCUGAACUUAAGCAUAUCAAUAAGCGGAGGAAAAGAAACCAACAGGGAUUGCCUCAGUAACGGCGAGUGAAGCGGCAACAGCUCAAAUUUGAAAUCUGGCUCUCGGGCCCGAGUUGUAAUUUGUAGAGGAUGCUUUUGGUGCGGUGCCUUCCGAGUUCCCUGGAACGGGACGCCAUAAAGGGUGAGAGCCCCGUCUGGUUGGA